rnacentral:rRNA from 1 species
GCCUCAAGUUAUGUGUGACA